rnacentral:rRNA from 1 species
UACCGGCGGCUCGAGUGGUGGCCACGAUUACUGGGCUUAAAGCGUUCGUAGCUGGGUUGUUAAGUCUCUUGGGAAAUCUACCGGCUUAACCGAUAGGCGUCCAAGGGAUACUGGCAAUCUAGGGACCGGGAGAGGUGAGGGGUACUUCAGGGGUAGGAGUGAAAUCCUGUAAUCCUUGGGGGACCACCUGUGGCGUAGGCGCCUCACCAGAACGGCUCCGACAGUGAGGGACGAAAGCUGGGGGAGCAAACCGGAUUAGAUACCCGGGUAGUCCCAGCCGUAAACGAUGCGCGUUAGGUGUAUCGAUGACCACGAGUCAUCGAGGUGCCGAAGGGAAACCGUGAAACGCGCCGCCUGGGAAGUACGGUCGCAAGGCUGAAACUUAAAGGAAUUGGCGGGGGAGCACCACAACAGGUGGAGCCUGCGGUUUAAUCGGACUCAACGCCGGAAAUCUCACCGGAUAAGACAGCUGAAUGAUAGCCGGGCUGAAGACUCUGCUUGACUAGCU